GCCGUGGUGGCAUAGUGGUUAAAGCAUUCGGCUGCUAACUGAAGGGUCGACGGUUUGAACCCACCAGCUGCU
rnacentral:tRNA from 1 species